AGAAUGAGAGAGGUCAGCUGGAGAAGCAGACUCCCCGUUGAGCAGGGAGCCCGACGUAGGACUUGAUCCAGGGAGUCCACAAUCGUGAUCUGAUCCGAAGGCAGUUGCUUAGCUGACUGAGCCACCCAGG